CUAACCGUUUAUUUCUUUCCUUUGUUUUGGGGUGAUCAAGAUGAUUACUGUUGAAUUAUGGUUUAUAAAUUUUCUGUAGAUGUUGAUUGCUAUGGAGUUAUUGGGUCGAGGAUUGAGUUCUUGUAAUGGAUGUGGAUUAUUAGCUAGAUCCAGUCUUUGAGACGUGUUCAGUUUGGUGCUGUUAUCUCUUAUCAAACAUCUUUGUUCUUAUUCAUCUGUUGAUGUGUUAUGGCCCUGAUGCAUACAAACUAAGUGGUUCUUUGGAUUUUGUUGAUGCUAGGUCUAUAGCUAUGCCAACAGUCUGAUCUUCAAGAUUAGAUAUUACGUCAUCUAUGUGGAUUGGAUCCCUUAAUAAUAUUGGCCAAUAUUGGCCAGAGACAUCUAACUUCUUUUUUCUUUUCUUUGUUUUGGGGUGAUCAAGAUGUUUACUGUUGAUUCUGGUUUAUAAACUUUCUGUAGGUCAGAUGUUGAUUGCUAUGGAGCUAUUGGAUUGAAGAGUGAGUUCUUGUAAGGGAUGUGGAUUAUUGGCUAGAUCCUAUCCUUGAGAAGGGUUUGGUUUGGUGUUAUUAAAAUCUCCCACCACACAUUUAUGUUCUAAUCCAUCUACUAAUGUGUUAUGGUGUUGAUGCGGAACUAAGACGUUCUCUGGAUUUUGUUGAUCCUAGGUCCAUAAUUAUGCCAGCAUAUUAUUUUCUAAGGAUCCUUAAGGCGCUGUACGAAUCUCCUAGAAACCUUAGAUCUACUAGUUUGUGUCCUACUAUAAUUUUUGUGCAAUUUAUCUUCUUUGAUGUUUUUCUUUUACUUCACUGACACUGGGGGGAGGACUCCAAUUUAAUUUUGUGGCUUUAGUCUUUAGUUUGAUCUGUUGAUCUUAUCUAAGCAAACAGGUUUUUUGGAAUUUUCUUUUUAGGUGCCAUUACAGUUUUUGCAUGUAUGGGAUGACAUUGGAAGGGUGCAGCCAGGGAAGUUGUCAUUUGUUUUUUCUAUGGUUACAGAGCUAGAAAAGCUAGUUGUGCAUAGGCCAUGAACAGGGAAGCUUCCACUUUUAUUUAUAUUCUUUUUAGUUCAUACUCUUCAUUUUGGGUUUUUUAGUUGUUCUAGAGCCUGUUAUUUUGAGAAGUUUGUUUGAAAAUUUCUUUCCCCAAAUAUGGUUUUUAAUUGGCUUAUAAUAUUCUUUAUGUCUUGAUUUGGUCUUCAAAUUCAGAUCCACAAGUUUUCUUUUGGACGUUACUAUGUGGCCUUUAUUUAUUUCUACACUAUUUGAACUUGUUGAUAGGUGAAUGUGUAUCUUUGAGGAUAAGUGCAUCUUGGCACUCUAGUUUAGUUGUUUACUGCUUUGAUCCAAACAUGUGGACAGGUAAAUGGGCAUCUACAUCUUGUGGACAAACAAACCUGUAAAUUUAAUUUCACUAUAUAAUUGGUGCAAGUUUGCAACAUGGCUGUUUGCCUAGUGUUAUCACAGAUCAGGAGUUCCAAUUCUUACUAUACUGACCAUUCGAUUUCACCCGUGAUCCAGGCAACUCAACCUUCACAUGUUUGAUGAAUGCUGGAAGCUAUGGUUUGAUAUUCUUCCUGCCAUUUCUGUCUUUUUUCAGUUAUUAUAGGUUUCUUUGUGCAACAUGGUCUAGAUGUAUGGUUGUCAUGUUUUUGAAGCCAUUUUCUCUAACUUUUCUUUUACUGUAGCAGUUUUUAAUUGUCUUUCCUUUCACUUAUCCUUCUAAAUGAGUCAUCGUUUCCAAGUUCACUUGUGGCUGUCAGUGGCUUGGGCCUGAUGAAGGUUACGUGAGUCUGUAUCUCUAAUUUCUGUCUUAGUGAUGUGGUCUUUUGUUAAAUUAUGUUCUAGUGCAUUGUGUAUGAGUCACAAAAGAUAUGCUAGUCUCCAAGAAUACGGUGUCAUCACUCAUUAGCAUGCCAUCUCAGGGAUUGUUGCAACUUCCAUCAUGUUUCAUUUGCUUUGAUCAUCUCUCUCCAUUCCUUUCUACUGCUCGGCUAUGUUCUUAAAUUUUCUACGGUGACUGGUGAAGUGAUGGAUGGAGACUUCUUGGAAGGAUAAAUAUGGUUGUAGAUCUAACUACUCUGUAUUUGAGGUGAUUUUUGCUAGUUAUAUGUACAUCAAUGCAAUGCUUUGUUUUAUGUUACAUGUGCCAGAGUAAAAUGUGCGAUGGACAAUUGGAAGAAUGGGAGUGAUUAUACAUGUAACAUAGUGCAGGCUGUGCGUUGUUUUCUAGUGCAUCUUGUCAUAGAAAAGAGGGUUUAUGUCGUUUUUGGCCAGUUUAGAGAUUGGGGAAACCUUUCAGCUGGUCAUUGCUGUUCGGCAAGGUUUUGUUUGUUGGAGGUUUGUCGAUCUUUUAAAGGAUAACUGAGGCUAUUGUUCAGUUUAUUUGUAUCUUUAAAAAACAAGGCUAUAAUUCUCUGUCACAGUGUCACUAUGGUGACCCCAAUGUCUUCCUUUUCCUGUUCAGUCCGAUGUAGUAUGGAUGGGAGAUUUGAAUCUACAUAUGGAUGCACUUCCAUAUGGGCCCUCUAUUCUUGCAGGGUGCGUUCAAAAAUGGGGUUAGACAGAGGUAGUGGAGGUGGCUUCAUGUCUUCAUGCAUGAGAGUGGUACUGUUUGCUCUGGUUUCUCUUACAAUCUAAUUUGCUCAAGUUUCUUUUGCAUUUGUGUACCACAGUUCCCUCCAGCUUCUGCUUACUGUCAACUCAAAACUUCUUUAAAGCUGGUUCUUUGGUUAUUUGUGUGGCAAAUUAUUGAUUCUCUAUUUUUUUUAUUUUUUUAUCAUGUUGCAACAAAUGCCUUUUAAUUUCGUUGCUUUUGGUGACAGAGUUAAUGAUAUUGAUUGCAAUAGUCCAGUGUGCCUGAUGUGUCUUAUGAUCUACUGGCGGCAGUUCUCAUAUUGUACCUUUAGAUGGUCUUUGGUUUGCUGCACUUGUUAGUUGAUUCUGUUGAGGGAACUGGUUCAUAUAUUAGUUAUGUGUGAUAUCAUGGUCGAUUCUUUUGAUGUCUCUAAUUCAUCCUUUUAUACCACCGUCUAUUGUUUCUUAUUGAUCUUUUAUACCAUUGCCCAUUGUUUUGUAUGGUUCAAUCAUUCUUCUCUUUGGCUGGGGGAAGUUUCCCUGUAUUCUAAUGCUCUAGUUGUGACUUACCUCUCUUAUCAUGAUGUCAGUGAUCAUAGUAUAGAGCAAAGUUUACUUUAUUACGUCAGUCAAGGAAGUUCGUGCGUAUGAUCAACUAUGGUGUCCGUGCAUAUCAGUUGUGAUUCAGCGCAUGGAUUGGUGAAUGAUUGAAUGGACAUCUUGAAGGGCGUGUCACUUUUUUGCCUUAGCUAUGGUGGAUGGGAGCAAUCUUGAAAGAUAAAUAAGGCUGUUAAUAUGAUUUCUCUGCUGGUAUGCUGUUUUUUGAAUGUGCUGAUUUCAAGAUCAUGGUUGUCAUUUGGAAGGAUGGAUAGAUAAGAAUAGCUAAAUUAACCUUAUCUUACUCUGGUGACUAGUUACAUGUAACAUGUUAAAAUCAUUGUGCCAGUGGUGCCUUGUUUUGUGUUGCAUAUUCUACUGCGUUCCUUUUCCUAUUCGAUCUGAUGAAGUAUGGUUUUGAAA